ACCGCCAUUAAACACCAGAAGAAGAAGAACAGGACAUUGCCUUAUAGGAGAAGAAGAGCAGGGAACGUGACGUAGAUUCAAAGCGUUGAAGAAAACGAGGAAUAAAAAUAAGAUCAUCUUUCCAAAUCUCUAAAUGACAGACCCAAAAGAGGAUGAAGUGCACAGCGCUGCAAUGAACUUAAUAGAAAUGCUAAGAAGAACACUCCAUAAUCCAGAAACAAGAGUUUCCCUGGACUGUUUAAAGAAAGACCCAAUUCGAGACCUCCAUUGCGUUGGACAAAAAAAAGGCCUAGUAGCAAAAUUAUACCUGUCCAGUUCUUCCUUUUGCAGAGAGCCUCAGAAAAAAACUCCCAAACUCACUGAGGAGCUCUUCUAUAGGCUGGGUUGGGAAGAAGAACAGUGAAUAUUACUGAGGAUGCUGGCCAUAAGGAGGUCACAGAAAUUAUCUGUGAGGUGUUUCCAAAAAUGAACCAGCUGGAUGGGGCAUGGAUGCUUUGCAAGGCUAUGGAUGCAGACCUUAAAGAAAAAAACUGCUGCACGUGGAGAAGAAAUGGCUGGCAAGGGAAACCAACAUCUGUCGCUCCAGAAUUUCUUUCAGUGGGUCACAGGUCAUGCUCACAUACCACUGAUAGAGUCUCAGCGAAGCAUGUUCAAAAUCACUAUCAAUUUUGAGCAUAACUGCAACUCCCUCUAUGGGGAACAUGGUGUGUGUUACCCAGUUGUCAAUGCCUGUGUGACAUUUCCCAUAUGUCACUUACGGACAUAAAGUGACUUUGAGAAGAACCUGAGCACUGCAUUAGAGUUCCGUUAUGAAUUUAGCAGGUACUAAAUAACUAUUUAAAAACUUAGUUUGAGUUCUGUUUUGUUUUGCAGCUAAAGCUAGCUUGUGAUUGUUUCAACCCUAUUAUUGUAUUUAAAAAGGGUGGAAAAUACUUAAAGAGUAAACCUUUUUCAGAAAAUAAAGUUUUCAAAGAAUU